GCAAACUUGGUCAUUUAGAGGAAGUAAAAGUCGUAACAAGGUAUCCGUAGGUGAACCUGCGGAUGGAUCAUUACCAAUUUUUAUAUGUUAGUUCUUGUGCUCCCGUCAAAAGGAGUUACAUUAUACUACUACUGUAAAUGUUGAACUGGAUCGAUUGGUGUGGAUUGCUUGGGAAUGGAAGAAGCGACAAGCCUCUUCCGGACAGGCAAACCCCACACUGAUAACCCUUUUUCAUAUAUAUACUACUACCAAUACAUACUACAAAAACAAAAACAAAAGCUAUAAUAGGACUUAUUAUGAGUUGAGUGGGUAAAAGCCUCAGCUUCAAAACUAAUAACUAUUACAACUUUCAGCAAUGGAUCUCUAGGCUCUCGCAUCGAUGAAGAACGCAGC
rnacentral:misc_RNA from 1 species